CGUUCCCGGGUCUUGUACACACCGCCCGUCACACCAUGGGAGCGGGUUUUACCAGAAGUAGGUAGCUUAACCGCAAGGAGGGCGCUUACCACGGUAGGAUUCGUGACUGGGGUGAAGUCGUAACAAGGUACCC
rnacentral:rRNA from 1 species